AGACGUCUACAUUAGAUACCCCGGUAGUCCUAGCCGUAAACGAUACUCGCUAGGUGUCGGCCACGGUGCGACCGUUGUCGGUGCCGUAGGGAAGCCGUGAAGCGAGCCACCUGGGAAGUACGGCCGCAAGGCUGAAACUUAAAGGAAUUGGCGGGGGAGCACCACAACGGGUGGGGCCUGCGGUUUAAUCGGACUCAACGCCGGGAAUCUCACCGGAUAAGACAGCUGAAUGAUAGUCGGGAUGAAGACUCUACUUGACUAGCUG
rnacentral:rRNA from 1 species